GGGGGUGUAGCUCAGUGGUAGAGCGCGUGCUUUGCAUGUACGAGGUUCCUGGUUCAAUCCCUGGCACCUCCA
rnacentral:tRNA from 2 species